UUACUCUGGAGGAUAGUGGGCUGUGUCUUUGGCACGGACAAGUGCCCGAACAAUAUUUGGCAAUACUUCUCGUGGUGUUAUGUAUUCCUUCCAGAUGGGGAAAAGUUGUAUACUUUUGUGCUAGCGGCCAUAUGCUGGGCAAUAUGGAAUUGCCGCAACCAAGCUAUCUUUGAACAGAAAAAAUUAAAGACUCCUUUCUUUGUGAUUUACUCCGCAUGUGGCUUUAUAGCUUAUUGGGCAGGGAUGAUGACUGGAGCGGAUCGGGAGGCGAUGGAAGGGGGGGCAACAUGCUAA
rnacentral:rRNA from 1 species